UNGUUCUAUCACUGAAUUUCAGCCUGC
rnacentral:piRNA from 1 species